rnacentral:rRNA from 1 species
GGAUUAGAUACCCGGGUAGUCCACGCUGUAAACGAUGAGUGCUAGGUGUUGGGGGUAUCAUGCCCUCGGUGCCGAAGUUAACACAUUAAGCACUCCGCCUGGGGAGUACGGUCGCAAGACUGAAACUCAAAGGAAUUGACGGGGACCCGCACAAGCAGUGGAGUAUGUGGUUUAAUUCGAAGCAACGCGAAGAACCUUACCAGGUCUUGACAUCCCAAUGAAUCGCCUAGAGAUAGGUGCGGCCUUCGGGACAUUGGAGACAGGUGGUGCAUGGUUGUCGUCAGCUCGUGUCGUGAGAUGUUGGGUUAAGUCCCGCAACGAGCGCAACCCUUGAACUUAGUUGCCAGCACGUGAAGGUGGGCACUCUAGGUUGACUGCCGGUGACAAACCGGAG